UCAAAGGAAUUGACGGGGGCCCGCACAAGCGGCGGAGCAUGUGGCUUAAUUCGACGCAACGCGAAGAACCUUACCAAGGCUUGACAUACACCGGAAACGUCUGGAGACAGGCGCCCCCUUGUGGUCGGUGUACAGGUGGUGCAUGGCUGUCGUCAGCUCGUGUCGUGAGAUGUUGGGUUAAGUCCCGCAACGAGCGCAACCCUUGUCCCGUGUUGCCAGCAGGCCCUUGUGGUGCUGGGGACUCACGGGAGACCGCCGGGGUCAACUCGGAGGAAGGUGGGGACGACGUCAAGUCAUCAUGCCCCUUAUGUCUUGGGCUGCACACGUGCUACAAUGGCCGGUACAAUGAGCUGCGAUACCGCGAGGUGGAGCGAAUCUCAAAAAGCCGGUCUCAGUUCGGAUUGGGGUCUGCAACUCGACCCCAUGAAGUCGGAGUCGCUAGUAAUCGCAGAUCAGCAUUGCUGCGGUGAAUACGUUCCCGGG
rnacentral:rRNA from 1 species